AGCAGCCGCGGUAAUUCCAGCUCCAAUAGCGUAUAUUAAAGUUGUUGCAGUUAAAAAGCUCGUAGUUGAAUUUCGGGAUCAAUGCGUCGGUCGUGCUUUCGGGUACGUACUGGUGUCAUUGGUUUCUCCUUUCUGACGAGCCGUGAUGUCAUUAAUUUGGUGUUACGGGUAGUUAGGACUGUUACUUUGAAAAAAUUAGAGUGUUUAAAGCAGGCAUUAGCUUGAAUACAUUAGCAUGGAAUAAUGAAAUAGGACGUUCGAUCCUAUUUUGUUGGUUUCUAGGAUCAACGUAAUGAUUAAUAGGGAUAGUUGGGGGCAUUAGUAUUCAAUUGUCAGAGGUGAAAUUCUUGGAUUUAUUGAAGACUAACUACUGCGAAAGCAUUUGCCAAGGAUGUUUUCAUUAAUCAAGAACGAAAGUUAGGGGAUCGAAGACGAUCAGAUACCGUCGUAGUCUUAACCAUAAACUAUGCCGACUAGGGAUCGGAUGAUGUUAAUUUUUUCAAUGACUCAUUCGGCGCCU
rnacentral:rRNA from 1 species